GACAGAGGAUGCAAGCGUUAUCCGGAAUGAUUGGGCGUAAAGCGUCUGUAGGUGGCUUUUCAAGUCCGCCGUCAAAUCCCAGGGCUCAACCCCGGGAGGCGGAUGGAUACUGCUUGGCUCGAGUCCGGAAGAGGCGAGUGGAAUUCCCGGUGUAGCGGUGAAAUGCGCAGAUAUCGGGAGGAACACCAAUGGCGAAGGCAGCUCGCUGGGACGGUACUGACGCUGAGACGCGAAAGCGUGGGGAGCAAACAGG
rnacentral:rRNA from 1 species